AAGUUCAUAAGAAUGCCUAGUAGAUGUUUGUGGAAAUGCCAAGGAGAAAGCCAGUAGCCCUGGGGUGUACCACCUUGAUCAAAAUUUCUUCUCUUUGAAUUUGGUCAGUUUGGAUUCAAUUAAUUAUGUGAAUUUGUUGAUUUUUUUUUUUUUUAAUUUAAUACGUUGGUCAGUUGAUUUCUGUUUCUUGUUGGCUAUAGUGGAUGUUACUAUCAUUCUCUGUAAGUUGCUAUGAUUUGGUCAGCAAAUGGGAUUAGUGGGUCGGUUUUGAAGAGUCUUAUGAAUCAAAUGUGGUACGAUCUUCAAGCUUUAAUGGGAGACAUUAUCCCACGAACAGGGUUUGGUAGUAGCUAUAAAGAAGGAAGGUGGAAUUUUCAACUCCAAACUGAACAAUCUAAGGUUCUUGCCCAUGAAAGAAAACGUGAAGAGAAAGAAAAUCAUCAGAGAAGUGCAAGAUACUAUGAUGAGUAGGAUUGAGAAGAGGAAGAAAUGUAUCAAAACAGGAGAAGCCAACACUGAUGAAUCCUUGCAAUGAAUCUUGAGUGUUACGAGGACUUAUGAAAACAUUGAUUUAUGGUACUACUAUUUCAACAGGGCCAAUGCUCAAACAGAGAGGCUAUACAACAGAGACAUUUAUUCAUAUAUAUAAGUGGCAAACUAAUAAUAUAGGCUUAAUUUUUGGUCCAUGACCUUCAUCUAAUGAUUUGGCAAGUAAUGCCAGUACGCAGAAAAUGAAAGAAACUAUUCUCUGUUUCUGAAUAAGUAAAAGCAAUUCUUUUGCACAACUGCAUUGGUAGAUAUUAUGAAGGGGGGAUUUCAUCAGUAUACAUGUGGAAAGACAAUGAGGACUUUGUGGCUUACUUCCUAAUAAAGAAAGGCCAGUUUUUCAACAAAGAAUGCAUGUCCUUUUGUUAAAAAAAAAUAAUAUGAUUGCACUAAUUUGUGAUGGUUGUUGGGGAUGAA